GGGGUGCGUGUGGAAAAUAAAAAUGAUUCAACGGGAAGAUAUUCAAAGAAAAGAGAAAGAAAAAGAGGCAAGCAAUAUGAGAAGCAGCCAGAAAUUGUUAACGACGAGAGGAAAAAAUAAACCAAAUGAACGUAACGAGUAGCAAAACAUAAAUUAGAAGACAAAAUAAUAAAUUAAAUUGAUAAUAUAUUUUUUUUUUUGUACUAGGUGUCCCAAGAUUUAUUGUCGAAACUAUUAAAUCAUAUUUUUUACGAAUGGAAAUAAGACAAAAGUGUUAUUCAAACCUGUGUAACUUUUAUUUCGAUUUUUAUUAUUAAUUUUAUUUAUAAUUUAAUUAAAAUAAACCAAACUUCUCUGAUAACGUGUUUCUUCAUAUUUCUACUCGUAGAAUAUGUCUGUGCAGUUUGAUUCGUAAAUCUCAGGACACCGUGUACAUUUUACGUUAUAAAUAUUAUCCGAUAAGUAUAAUAAAUUAAUAAUAAUAUAUAUUUAUUUUUUGAUAUUAUCAAUAAAUAUAGGUCGUGGUGUCCCAAGAUUUAUUGUCGAAACUAUUAGAUCAUAUUUUUUACGAAUGGAAAUAAGACAAAAGUGUUAUUCAAA
rnacentral:lncRNA from 1 species